rnacentral:lncRNA from 1 species
AAAAUAAUUAUUAAAAAGAAAAUAUAAAAUACAAAACAUGGGGUACAUAAAAUAAACUUAUGAAAGAAAAAAAAUUAGAAAGAAGAUUUCUGUUUCUAUAAAAAUGUCAAAAAUAAAUGGGGGGAUAAAUCUCACUAGAAAAAUUCCUGAGUUUCAAGUAGUUUAGCCAUCUAGUUUUUAUCUUUCAAGGGAUGAGGGUGCUAUUUUACGAAGCAGCAGCCACCAAAGAUGAAUCAUGUUCUAAGAAAAGAAAUUUUGAUGGCAAAAAAAGAACUCGUGGACUCGGCAGAGAGAUUUAGUUGAAAGUGAAUGGCUUUUGUUUGGGGUGCUAGAACAAGUCAUGUUCGACUGAUUUUGCCUUCUUCAAUUACCUUCCACACCUUCGACUGAUUUUUCCUUCACUUUCCAAAACUUACGAACAUGUGCUAAUUAAAUUUGGGGAAAUUAAAAUCAUGCGGUAGUUAAUAGUUAUAAGGGAAUUAUAAGAAAAACAUUAGUUAAAUUUGGAGAAACAGAUGAAUUGAUGGUGUGUUA